GCCAAACACGAGUGGAGGAUGCCAUCUUCUAGCUAGCAUUACAACGAAGAUAAACCUGUGGUGGCUAUCUAAUAAGGCAGACGACUGUGAACCAAAUCUCCACCAUUAUUUGUUGGAGACACUUACUCAGGUGACCAGAAAAUACCCUGACCUUGCUCACAGCGCCUUGGUCCAGUGACAUCUGUCAAGAAAGUAGCAGACAAACUGGGCCCAUAUCCUGGAGUAGAUUAUGGAGCAGCAGCACCCAGACCCAAAACAAAGGAGAUGACACUGGAGGACCAGGUCUGGUAUUUGAUGGCCUGCUAGAGUAGCGGAACAGGCAUGGUGUCCCAUCUCCAGCAGGAACACCUGGGGUACCUGUGGGAACUGCUCAGACAUGCCGACCAGGAGAGGAAGUGCUGCGGUCCGGACCCACCAGCUCACUUUUUUAAACAAAGUCAUUACUUGUAAAUAGAUGUAAAGCUUGCACAUUCAAUUGGUUUAGGCACAGAG